rnacentral:rRNA from 1 species
CACGUAGGGGGUGAGCGUUGUCCGGAUUUAUUGGGCGUAAAGAGCUCGUAGGCGGCUCAGUAAGUCGGGUGUGAAAACUCCAGGCUCAACCUGGAGACGCCACCUGAUACUGCUGUGGCUAGAGUCCGGUAGGGGAGCAUGGAAUUCCUGGUGUAGCGGUGAAAUGCGCAGAUAUCAGGAGGAACACCGGUGGCGAAGGCGGAUCUCUGGGCCUUACCUGACGCUGAGGCGCGAAAGCGUGGGGAGCGAACAGG